AAACUGUCCAAGAAGAGCUCUGAACCCAGAUGUUUCUCUAAGGCCAACCCAGCUUCCUGACUAUAUUUCCUCUUUCUUUUCAGGCAGCUGGAGGAACACCAUGGCUUUGGUACUACUGCUGGUGCAGAUGUGAGAUAGAUGCUGAGAUGCUUCAUAUACACCUACAGAAGAAAGCUGAGAGAUUUAUAGUGAUAUGAUCAGAAUGAAUAGACUUCUUCACAUUGUCAUUUUGGACUUGGACACCUCUUAUCCAUGUUUUGACUGUGAAUUCACUGUCCUCUCUCUCCCUCUUUUUUUUUUCUUCCAUGUGCAUAUCAAUAUUUGAUUAGACUUUUAUGGACAGUGUCCCACUGCAAGUCUAAAACCUAAUAUACAUAUAUAUACAUAUGUAUUAUAUAUAUAUAUAUGUAUGUAUAUAUUAUUACUUUUUUGAGGAGAUACAGCUUGCUUAUUCUGCCUGUUUCUGGAUUUUAAUUCUAUUUCUUCUUCUGGUCUCUUCUGGAUAUAACUGCACAGUUGUGAGCCUUCCCUCCGGAUGGGCAUGAGUCAGCUCCAAACCAUAAACAGCGUAGCCAUGGUUAGUAAGCCUGAGCUACUAAGCCUUUGCUGAUAGCGUGGGCACAACAAGUCGCGUCGGCUUGGAGUACAACCAAAGCAAGCUCACAUCUGCUUAAAAAACAACAACAACAAUGACAACAAAAGGUCUGGAAGAGGAACCUGCAGUGACUAUCUCAGACAUAGACAUUUACAUGACUCCUUCCACGGGACCUUUGUGCUUGCCUACCUUAUGUUUGAAGACACUCAGAUGUCUAUACAUGCAGAUAGGACAGGAAAGCCAGCGGCACUGCAUUCAUCUUAUCUGCAAACAAAUGCCAGGGAGACGCCUCAGGUAAGACAAUUUCAUUCAAACUCAUUCAUCUGGACUUACAAACCACAGCCAAAGCUAACAGAGCUCCUACUGUUUUAGACAGAGAAUUCACCAAGGAGCUCAUUGAUGUCUGGCAGAGAAUGGUGAUGAAAUAGAAGGAUUAACAAAAGUGAUCUGUACCAACAGUGAGGAUUUCAAAACGAUAAACUUUGAUAAGCUGGGAAGACUAUGCAAUGGACUGAAGAGCUUAGGGAAAGGAACACUUGAGCUGGAUUUUUCUGAAAUCAAAAAAGUGCAAAAAAUUAGUACAGAGUUUCCAUCCAGAACUGUUAAGAAAAGGUUGAGAAGGAAGAUGGACAAUUAACCAUCCCAGAAGGAUAGCAGAAAUAAGUAGACACAUUUAGGGAAAGAGAACAAGGGACUGAAGAAUUUCUUGGAGGGCAAGAAGAGUAGAGCUCAAAAAAAAAAGGGGGGCGGGAGAUAAAGGAGGAGAAGAAAAGGGGGGGCAUCUUGAGUAUUACAGCUGAGCUUAUUUUUUAUUUUAUUUUAUUUUAUUUUAUUUUAUUUUAUUUUAUUUUAUUUUAUUUCCAGUAUGUCCAGGAUAAAUGGAACAGUAUUUGUUCUGUGUUUGCCAAAGGUGUAUUAUACCAUAACAAAAUGAUUUUUUUAAGACAAAAUUAUUUUCUCCAUGCUAUCUUUCCCUAGAAAUACAAUACCUUUAAUCAGCUUGGACUUUGCUUAUUUACUUUCUAUACCACAUACAGGAUCAUCAGUUUAAGAAGAGGAUGUGUAUAGGAACUGAAAAGAGGAUAGUUAGAAGGCAGAUGAUAGGAGUUUAUGCUAAAAAGACAGUCAUAAUGCUAGAGGGAAGUAUGCAGCAGAAUUCCUCCAGGAGCAGUUUUGGUCUGUCUUGAUCUCUAAUUUAAUAUUUUCAUG
rnacentral:lncRNA from 1 species